rnacentral:antisense_RNA from 1 species
CUUCAGCGACCCGAGCCACAGCGGCCGCUUCGGGUCACGGUCGUGACCGUAGGUGGCGAGCAGGGCGUGCGCUUC